rnacentral:rRNA from 1 species
CAAUAGCGUAUAUUAAAGUUGUUGCAAUUAAAAAGCUCGUAGUUGAAUUUCAAAGGCGGAAGAGCAAGUCGGCCGCAAGGUCUGUAUUUCUCGUCCGUUUUUAAUUUUUUGGGUGAGGGCGGUCUGUUAUUAAUUUAAUGGGUCGUUCCCCCCAAUCGUUUACUGUGAAUAAAAUAGAGUGUUCAAAGCAGGCUUUUUGUUUGAAUACUACAGCAUGGAAUAAUAGAAUAGGAGGUUACCUUUAUUUUGUUGGUUUCUAUUGGCAACCUAAUGAUUAAUAGGGAUAGUCGGGGGCAUUUGUAUUUCCUAGUCAGAGGUGAAAUUCUUGGAUUUAGGAAAGACAAACUUCUGCGAAAGCAUCUGCCAAGGAUGCUUUCAUUAA